UACGAAGGGGGCUAGCGUUGCUCGGAAUCACUGGGCGUAAAGGGUGCGUAGGCGGUCGCGCAAGUCGGAUGUGAAAUCUCAGGGCUCAACCCUGAAACUGCAUUCGAUACUGCGUGGCUAGAGUGCUGGAGAGGAGACUGGAAUUUACGGUGUAGCAGUGAAAUGCGUAGAUAUCGUAAGGAAGACCAGUGGCGAAGGCGAGUCUCUGGACAGCAACUGACGCUGAGGCACGAAGGCCAGGGGAGCAAACGGG
rnacentral:rRNA from 1 species